rnacentral:rRNA from 1 species
ACGAACGCUGGCGGCGUGCUUAACCCCUGCAAGUCGAACGGAAAGGCCCUGCUUUUGUGGGGUGCUCGUGUGGCGAACGGGUGAGUAACACGUGAGUAACCUGCCCUUGACUUUGGGAUAACUUCAGGAAACUGGGGCUAAUACCGGAUAGGAGCUCCUGCUGCAUGGUGGGGGUUGGAAAGUUUCGGCGGUUGGGGAUGGACUCGCGGCUUAUCAGCUUGUUGGUGGGGUAGUGGCUUACCAAGGCUUUGACGGGUAGCCGGCCUGAGAGGGUGACCGGCCACAUUGGGACUGAGAUACGGCCCAGACUCCUACGGGAGGCAGCAGUGGGGAAUAUUGCAUAAUGGGCGGAAGCCUGAUGCAGCAACGCCGCGUGCGGGAUGACGGCCUUCGGGUUGUAAACCGCUUUCGCCUGUGACGAAGCGUGAGUGACGGUAAUGGGUAAAGAAGCACCGGCUAACUACGUG